GACGAACGGCUGGCGGCGUGGAUUAGGCAUGCAAGUCGAACGGUAUCAUCCUUUCGGGGGUGAGAGAGUGGCGAACUGGUGAGUAACACGUAGGUUAUCUACCCUCAAGACGGGGACAACCCAGGGAAACUUGGGCUAAUACCGGAUGUGAGCAACUUUAGUGUUUGAAAGGUGGCGUAAGCUGUCGCUUGGGGAUGAGCCUGCGUCCUAUUAGUUAGUUGGUGAGGUAACGGCUCACCUAGGCAAUGAUAGGUAGGCGGCCUUAACGGGUGGUCGCCCACACUGGGAUUGAGAUACGGCCCAGACUCCUACGGGAGGCAGCAGUCGAGAAUAGUCUACAAUGGUCGGAAGACUGAUAGUGCGACGCCGCGUGAACGAUGAAUCCCUUCGGGGUGUAAAGUUCUUUUAUAUGUGAGCAGUGCUUCUUAUAUUAACAGUAUGGGGAGAGAGAUAUUAGCAUAUGAAUAAGCAACGGCUAACUCCGUG
rnacentral:rRNA from 1 species